GUGCGCGAGAGAGAGCGAGAGGCGCUUUGGCGGCGGUGGCGCUGGAAGUUGCUCAGUUUCAAUGUAGCCGAACUAGGAACCGAAUGAGGCAAAAAAAAAUGCCCCCAGGGACCGCAGGCCCCACUGGGCGAGGCGGGCGUGAGAGGCUCUUCUCGGCCCUCGCCGUGCCAGGGCCUGCUGGGGGAGGGGGGUGAGCAGGUCGGGCCCGUCCUCUCCAGGCUUUCUCUCUUCUUCCACAUGCCUCCUUGUCGCCUUUAAAUGCUACAGAUUCCCAUCUGCUUGUAAGUUGCAAUGUCAUGCGUGGUUUUGGUUUGUUUUUUUCCUCUUUCCUAAGUGUUACUCAUUAGGGGUGGGCGAGCGUGUUUAUAUGUAUGUGUGUGUAAGGAAGAAAUAAAAAUGUAUAUAUAUUUUUCAUACGCCUUGUCUCUACAGCUUUUCCUUUGUUAUUGACUCUCUCCCUCUGGCUUAAAAGAGGAGCAUGAAGUGACUUCCUGGUGUUAUUAAAAGGUGCAAUGUCAACAUUUGCGUUUGCCCUGGUUUAUUACUUAGAUAGUGGGAGACGGCGGGUUAAGACAGCAAUAUUAUUAUGAAAGCAGACAAGUGAAAAGGAUGAAAAUGGAUGCAACCUAUGGCUGGACUUGAGGUAAUUUACAGCUGGAUCGAUAACAUACAGAAGGGUUAUCGCAUGAUUAAUGGUUACAUUUACAUUUUGUGUUUCAUGCUGUAUUUAGGUAAUGAACAGGGCUCACCUGCCUAAAGUGUUUAUUUCCAUCUUAGGGAACUGUCUUUAGAGGCAUGAUGUGUUACAGUUUGAAUUUUAUCAGAGUAAACAGUGAUUAGCAUUUGUUAUGUAAUAUAUCAAUGUUUUGGGAUUGAAAGUUGGGCAUUGGGCAAUUUUUGUAUUCCAAAAAAGAAAGAAAAAGCGGCCAUUUAAGCAAUUAGUGCAAAUCAGUUAAAAACUGCUCAUCAAAUACAGUAAAGCUACAGUGAUAUGUUCUAGAGAUGCUCGAACUAUGUUAACCUAAAUGAUUUCCUCUCUCUGAAGUUGCAGCUUUGAACGAAAAUAAGGUAUGUAGUUUUCAAGUAAAUAAUUAUAUAAUAUGUUGUAUUAAUGAUUUUAUAAGUGUCAAGUUAUUAAGGCCCCAGCUCACAAAAGAGGCUGCAUAUAUGCUUAUUUCAGCACAAAACUGGAACUGUAGUAAGACUGCAAUCCUACACCAACUUACCCUGAAAUAAGCCCUAUUAAACUCGGUGGGUCUUCCAUCUGAGUAAACUUGAAUAUGAUUGCAUUGCAAGAGCAAUUGCUACAGUAGUCUUUUGCAUCAUAUCACAAAAAAGAGAAAGCAUAUAUCUGGAAAAUGUAUGAAGGUAUGAUUUGCAGUAAGUCCCACACUGCUGUUAGUUAUUUCUGGAAUUAGAAAAAUUGAUAUCUAGAAGGGACACAUGUCAUCCUGAGAUGAGUAACAAAUUAAUACAGGAUUAAUAUUAAGUUAGAACUGAAGUGAUUUUGUACUACAAGCUUUUCUGUUUUAGUAUCUUCACCAUUUCAUUUUCCUACUAUUUUUGUGGCCCCCAUUUGAACCUGAUACUUUUAUUUUACAUUAUAGAAUUGUAUGAAGGUUUUAAUUUAAUCAAUCUUUUAAUAAAGUACUAUAUUUUUCAGUUACUCUGGAGCCUUAUAUUUAAGAUGUAGAAUGUGAAUAAAGACCUUAAUAGGCAGUGCUAAUAAGAUUUGCAAGUUUAUCCUGCUCUUUUUAUGCUUGCUUAUAUGUGUACAAAUAUAGCUAAGGUAUUUAUAUGAAUUACGAUCUAUUGAUACUGGAUCUGUAUUUCAAUGUUACUUACUCUGAAAGAAAUUAGUUUUUAAUUAGAAGAAGGAUGAUUGUGACUAUAAAGGCUUUCCUUUUUUGUAUUAUAUAUCCCACAGUAAUUCUGUUGAUUGAAUUCACAUGCAAAAACACUGACAUUUCUAUUAUCACCAGUAUAGCACACUAAAAAUACAAGCAGAGGGUGCAGUUCUAUCAUUUUAAAAUUAUUUCUCUUCAAUAAGAUCAUUGGCUUUUGUUUUGCAUGCAAGUUGUUUUUUCUUCUACAUAAGUCUUAGAAUUAUUUUGGUAUUGUACAUUUAGAAUAGAGGAUGUUGAGAUUUGUUCGUUCUUUUAAUUGUAACAGCUUAUUAUCAGUGAUAUCUCAGCAGUGCAUUGUGCUAAGUCCCAGUAAUGUUAUUGUUUUCUUUGCUAGAAAAAUGUAUUUCUGAAAUCUCUCACACGGUCUCCAGUAGUAUAUUUUGAAAUUCUUGCAUUUGUGUCGAGUUGCAUUAUCCUUAAAGAGAAAUAUUUUAGUUCCACUGUCAUUGAGAUGUAAUAGGUUCUUUGUGAACUGCUUCUGUUAUAAUGAGGUUUGUCUUACACAAGUAAGAUUCCCCUUUUCAGAAUAAAAUAGCUAUUUAAAAUAUGUAACGAUGUAGUCUAACUAGUGACGUUAUGGUUUUAAUUUUACAAAAUCCUGUUAUAAUUACAGGUGGUAGUAACAUGGUUUUAAUUUAACUUUCUGAAAAUGAAUGUUUGGCAUUCCUUUCAUUACUGUAGGGUUGCUGAGUUUCAGGAAACUUACAAAGAUUUGUUUUCCCCAUGGUAGAUGCAACACCAUAUUUUACAGAGAAAUUGAAAGACCUUUAGUAGCAGUUUAUGAAACUCCUUCUUUAGAAAAAUAUUUGACAAUAAAAAUAUUUGCUGUAUUUAAAACAAAUGUAGAUAACACUGACUGUAGUAUUUCUGGAAUAUUAGAAAUAGAUAUAAUUAACUGCAUAUCAUUGUAUAUACAUUUCUUUCAGCAAGACAGGAAAUUGUGAGAAACAUCAAGGGCAUUGCCCCAAAGGAAAAUGUUUUUAUUAAGGCUGAGAAACACUUUGGGGGAUGGAUCCAAAGAAACAUGAGCGGAACAACUAUGCUUAUUAUUGUUUCAUGAACUGUUUGAAAACUUCAUGGAACAAAGUACCUGGAGGUACACCACAGUAUGGAAACAAAGUAUGGUCCAUACUGUAGUGUAUAAGCGCUGCAUCUAGGCAUAUGAUCAAUUAUAGGGAGAUAGGGGGGCCCAUGUUGUUUGAGAGGUGUUCCCCAGUACAAAGCAAGCUCUAAGAGCUAGGGUGCAAAUAUUUCUACAUUGCAAUAUUCACUCUGCAAUGCAGAACUCUUUGCACCCCAGCCAUUCAGGUUUGCUUUGCAAUGGGGAGCUUCUCACACCUUAUCCAUUAGGGCUUGCUUUCCAAAUGUGUGAUUUAAACAUAAGCAUUUCUGGAAGAUUUGGAGCUAGAUGCAAAGGUGCCCUUCCACAUCUGCAAGGGCCUUUAUUCUGCUAGAGGCUCUUGCAAAUGUAAAGGGGGGAAAUGUGAUUUUCACCUACUUCUCCCUCCUUCUGCAGUCAACCUGAGCCACCUUCCAUGCUUUUUGAAAGGUUUCACAAUCCUCUGGAGCAGAGGUUUAAGGAAUCCUUAAGAAUCAAAUUCCCCCUUCCAUUCAUAGAAGUCGAGAGCAACGCUCAUGCUAUCUCUAAUGCCAACCAAUGGAAACCAGAGAGAUAUAGCAAACUGUCUUUCACAAGUGGUUGUGCAGUGAUUUGCACUAAUUGUGUUGCACUUUCUUUCACAUAAUGCUAUGUCAGAAAUAGCCCUUCCAUGAGCAGAAAAUGCUUUCUGCUUGUGGAACAACACACUUGGAUCUAAACAUACUGUUAUAAUAAAAUAGCAGGAAAUACUUUAUUUUCGAAAGGAAAUAGCAAUGUUUCUACAUAUUUAUCAUAACUAACAUACUAGUGGAACACAGUAUGAGUAAAGGACCUCUAAUGAAUAUGGAUUGAUAAGUUAUGCAGUACCAUUUUCAGACCCACUUAUAGUGCAUUAUCAAUAUAUUUGCAUAAAUGUUUUUGCUGGCACACACCCUGUUGAGGAAAGUGGUGAAAUGAGGAAUGUUGUGAAAAGUUGUUUAAAAUGACUAUACAAAUACAUUUCUGCAAAAACCCAGAAUCUCUUGCCUUGCCUGUUUUGUACUUUUCAACUUGUAGUUUUAGUAAUGAGGAACAAGUACGAUGGGCAAGUUGCCAGGGCUAAUACACUGAGAAUAUGUGAGGGUAGAUUCUUGAAUUUGUUUGUUGCACAAUCAAAGGCCUGAAACAUAGUCAUGGAAUUAAAGUUAUCCAAAAUUGUCACAUUCUAUAGUGGGAAGUAGUGCUAAAAAUAUAUGUGAGGGUUGAUGCCUGUAGUUGAGAUAUCUUGCAAACAUUUUUUUCAAUGAACUUCAUAGCCUUUUUAAUAUUUCUUACUCUGGCUCUCUUCCUAUAUGGUUAUUUUUUACUAUUUUGUCUCUCUUGUUAAAUUUUACAUACAAGUGUGCAUCAAAGUAUUCUAAACGCUAAUUAUGUAAACAUUGUCCAGGAUUAACAUUUGCACAUUUUCCCUUAGACAUUUCAUGUAAUUUCAGUCCUAGAAGUUCAGUCAUGACAUGUGAGUAUUGUGGAUGGGGACUAGCAAAAUAAUCCUAACUACAGGAAGUUAUGGCAUUUAGGAGCCUCUGGGAGGGACUGUUGCCAACUAAACUGGCAGGUGAGUGUGGACAUGAGUUUUGAGGAGUGGGCCCUAGGUGACAUGACUGGGCUGAACAGAUUUUGGAAUAGGUUUCUGCUUGCUCUGUCUCCCAGAUCAUCCCUUUUGGGGGACUUAUGUUGUUCUAAGUUCCACCACCUUAUCUCCAGCCCAACCAGGGUGAGGGGCUUAGACCACCAAAGCCCCAGCUUAGAAAGAAAGUCUAGGAUCUGCUUAAUCUAAACACUCUCAUCCCAGAGGAUCUUAAGUUUGGCUCAGACUAUUAAUAAGCAAACCUGCAUACUAGCAGUUCUAAAUAGAUACAUAUUAUUUUUAUUUAUUAUAUUUUAUUUACAUGCUGCCUUUUGCCCAGUGCGGGACCCAAGACUUCUUACAGCAUAUAUUAAUACAGUUACAACU